rnacentral:rRNA from 1 species
AACGAACGCUGGCGGCAGGCUUAACACAUGCAAGUCGAGCGCCCCGCAAGGGGAGCGGCAGACGGGUGAGUAACGCGUGGGAACGUGCCCUUCAGUUCGGGAUAACCCAGGGAAACUUGGGCUAAUACCGGAUACGUGCGAGAGCAGAAAGAUUUAUCGCUGAAGGAUCGGCCCGCGUCUGAUUAGCUGGUUGGUGAGGUAACGGCUCACCAAGGCGACGAUCAGUAGCUGGUCUGAGAGGAUGAUCAGCCACACUGGGACUGAGACACGGCCCAGACUCCUACGGGAGGCAGCAGUGGGGAAUAUUGGACAAUGGGCGCAAGCCUGAUCCAGCCAUGCCGCGUGAGUGAUGACGGCCUUAGGGUUGUAAAGCUCUUUCGUCCGGGACGAUAAUGACGGUACCGGAAGAAGAAGCCCCGGCUAACUUCGUGCCAGCCGCCGCCGUAAUAC